rnacentral:lncRNA from 1 species
UUUCAAUUUUUUAUCUAAACAUGCAAAAACAACAAAACAUUUUUUAUAAUGUAGCUGACAUUAAAAUGAUCUAUCAAUUGAUAUAUCAAUCAAUUAACAAAACUAAAACACUUUGUAAUAGCUGCUUUUGUCAAAAUUAAAGACAUUAUGUCAUGGUGAGACAUAUAUUGAUUUGGAUUCAGCAUGAGAAAGCAGGAAGUAGGAAGGUUGAACCUGGCCGGCACAAUGUCAGACAUUCUUCACACUAAUUGAGACAUCAUUAUUAAAGGAUUGAGGAAACAGAGUGUGCUACCUGGAUUGCUCCUGUUUGAUGUUGUUGAUGAUGUGGUUGUUGUUGAUGUGGAUGAUGUUGUUGUUGCUGCUGAAGGGGACAAGGAGGUUUUGGGUGGAGUUGUUGCUGCUGGUAUGGAAGUAGACAGUGUUUUCUGUGAUGAUGUUUCUGAAAUAAAUGUCAAAAAUACAUGUUCUGUAAUCAAAACUUUUACAUUUAAAUCUAAAAUAAAAACCAUG